UACAGAGGUCUCAAGCGUUGUUCGGAUUCAUUGGGCGUAAAGGGUGCGUAGGCGGCGCGGUAAGUCGGGUGUGAAACCUUGGAGCUUAACUCCGAAACUGCAUUCGAUACUGCCGUGCUUGAGGACUGGAGAGGAGACUGGAAUUCUCGGUGUAGCAGUGAAAUGCGUAGAUAUCGAGAGGAACACCAGUGGCGAAGGCGGGUCUCUGGACGAUUCCUGACGCUGAGGCACGAAAGCCAGGGGAGCAAACGGG
rnacentral:rRNA from 1 species